ensembl:lncRNA
UACCUGUUUCCUUUAUAAUUUUUCUGUUCUAGGAUUUCUUCUGGAGAUGUGAGUCAUUUUACCUGAAAUUGAGUGUUCUUGAAACCCUUUGAAGGAACAAAGACAACAGAAUCAUCACUCCUGUCCUAACUCUGAAGAUUUCAAGUCUUUGACUGUGGUUCCCUGUACUGUUUAUUUUCACUGGUUAUGGAAGCAUAGAUAGUGUGUCUGUAAAUGGAAGCCAAUGGAUACCCUCAUGUCUGACGUAAAUUUUCUUCUUUGUAUCAGGAUUCCGUUAGAUCAUCAGCCAUUGUUUUAGAAGGUGUAGGUUUGUGGAAUGGCUAUUUAUUUCCCCUCUCAGGUCCUUGGUUGGCUUCACAGAGCUCUUCAUUUUUAUUUUUAUUCUGAACAUGACUCUAUGGCUUAAACAGUGUGAAAAGUUACAAGGGUGCCUGACCUGGAGAUUCCUGUUUGGCUGUCAGAAGAAUUCUACUUUCCAAUUCCUGGACAUUGUGGCUGUAGCAAGGAUUCGGAGGGGCCAUUGGAGGAUUGCCAUCCCAAAGGUGAGCAAAGUAGUAGACGUGAGUAUUGAUAUUAAACUUAAUGACAUCACUGAAGUGGGUUACACCUGAUCACUGUUCUUGUCCAGCCGCUGUUGCUG